AACGAACGCUGGCGGCAUGCCUAACACAUGCAAGUCGAACGAGACCUUCGGGUCUAGUGGCGCACGGGUGCGUAACACGGGGUAACCUGCCCUUAGGUUCGGAAUCACUCCCCGAGGGAUGUGCUAAUACAGGAUAAUGUCUUCGGACCAAAGAUUUAUCGCCUUUGGAUGGGCGCGUGUUGGUUUAGCUAGUUGGUAGUGUAAAAGCCUACCAAGGCGACGUUGCAUAGCUGGUCUGAGAGGAUGCUCAGCCACAAUGGGAAUGCGACACGGCCUAGACUGCGACGCAAGGCUGCAGUAGGGAAUAUUGUACACGGAGCCAUGGUGCGACAAAGCCAUGCGCGGUGAGUGAUCAAUCGCUUAGGGUUGUACAUCCGCCUUAGACGGGAUGAUAAUGACAGUAAUGGGUGAAUAAGCACCGGCUAACUACGUG
rnacentral:rRNA from 1 species